UCGACGGUAGCACAGAGGAGCUUGCUCUCUGGGUGACGAGUGGCGGACGGGUGAGUAAUGUCUGGGAACUGCCCGAUGGAGGGGGAUAACUACUGGAACGGUAGCUAAUACCGCAUAACGUCGCAAGACCAAAGAGGGGGACCUUCGGGCCUCUUGCCAUCGGAUGUGCCCAGAUGGGAUUAGCUAGUAGGUGGGGUAACGGCUCACCUAGGCGACGAUCCCUAGCUGGUCUGAGAGGAUGACCAGCCACACUGGAACUGAGACACGGUCCAGACUCCUACGGGAGGCAGCAGUGGGGAAUAUUGCACAAUGGGCGCAAGCCUGAUGCAGCCAUGCCGCGUGUAUGAAGAAGGCCUUCGGGUUGUAAAGUACUUUCAGCGAGGAGGAAGGUGUUGUGUUUAAUAACCGCAGCAAUUGACGUUACUCGCAGAAGAGCACCGGCUAACUCCGUGCCAGCAGCC
rnacentral:rRNA from 1 species